rnacentral:rRNA from 1 species
UACGUAGGGGGGCAAGCGUUGUCCGGAUUUAUUGGGCGUAAAGAGCUCGUAGGCGGUUCCGUAAGUCGUGAAGUCAAAUCUCUGGGCUCAACCCAGAAUCGCUUCCGAUACUGCGGUGACUGGAGUCCGGUAGGGGAGUGUGGAAUUCCUGGUGUAGCGGUGAAAUGCGCAGAUAUCAGGAGGAACACCGGUGGCGAAGGCGGGUCUCUGGGCAGUAACUGACGCUGAGGAGCGAAAGCGUGGGGAGCGAACAGG